CGUGUCGUGAGAUGUUUGGUUAAGUCCAUCAACGAGCGCAACCCUUAUACUUAGUUGGAUUUUUCUAGGUAGACUGCCCCGGUAACGGGGAGGAAGGAGGGGAUGAUGUCAGGUCAGUAUUAGUCUUACGUCCUGGGCUAGAAACGCGCUACAAUGGCCAGUACAACGGGCAGCCAACCCGCAAGGGGGAGCAAAUCCCAUCAAAACUGGUCCCAGUUCGGAUAGCAGGCUGAAACUCGCCUGCUUGAAGUCGGAAUCGCUAGUAAUCGCAGAUCAGCAUGUUGCGGUGAAUACGUUCCCGGGUCUU
rnacentral:rRNA from 1 species